rnacentral:rRNA from 1 species
CUACGGGUUGCUCCAGUGAGGAAUAUUGCACAAUGGGGGAAACCCUGAUGCAGCAACGCCGCGUGGAGGAUGACGCAUUUCGGUGUGUAAACUCCUUUUAUCAGAGAAGAAAAUGACGGUAUCUGAUGAAUAAGCUCCGGCUAACUCCGUGCCAGCAGCCGCGGUAAUACGGAGGGAGCAAGCGUUAUUCGGAAUCACUGGGCGUAAAGGACGCGUAGGCGGGUUUUUAAGUCAGGUGUGGAAUCCUAUGGCUCAACCAUAGAACUGCACUUGAAACUGGGGACCUAGAGUAUGGAAGGGGCAGGUGGAAUUAGUUGUGUAGGGGUAAAAUCCGUAGAUAUCACUAGGAAUACCGAAAGCGAAGGCGACCUGCUGGGACAUUACUGACGCUGAGGCGUGAAAGCGUGGGGAGCAAACAGGAUUAGAUACCCCCGUAGUC